GCGCUGCAGCGCGUCUUCCGCGCCGGCCGGCCGGCCGGCCGCCCGUUGCAUAAUGUCAGCGGCCCCUCCAGGGCCGACGCCAAGAACUGGCCGACGCCGCCGCCGACGCCGCCUCCUCGCCGUAGCUACAGUUUUCUGGACCGCGGCUGACAGCGCAACAAGCCUAACGGACACACGCCGGCCACUGCGGCUCCGCAGACAGCUAAAAAUGUCUUGUCCUCGACACAGCCGGUGCGAAGACAAUUACCGUCACGGACAGGUAAAAUGGAAAUGAUCGUCUGGCGUCAUUGGCCGGGAGGCCUCUUACGGGGCAGGUCCGGCCACCUUGGUGCAGGUCUUAUUACAUUCGACGCCACAUUGGGCGACCUGCGCGCCGGAUGGGGAUGAAAUGAUGAUGAAGACAACACAACGCCCAGUCUCUGAGCGGAGAAAAUCCCCGACCCAGCCGGGAAUCGAACCCGGGCCCCUUAGGAAGGCAGUCCGUCACGCUGAGCAUUCAGCUAUCGGGGCGGCCAAUUUGCAGGUGAAGGACAUUGAACAAUUGAGAAGACUCAGCUAUGAACAAUUGAGAAGACUCAGCUAUUACCACUAAGAAGACCACGACCAACUCAUGCAACAGUGAAGUUAGCAUAGUUUAAAUCUCUGCAGAUAUUAACAACGGAUAUCCACUGCAAGAGACAAUCAUGACUCUUCGAUCAAAGCUCACGGCUACUCAAGACGCUGUCUUCAUAAACGCACAAGUUAUGUGGAUCAAGAACUGUUCGCAACCAAUGUGGAAACUAGCAAGAUCAGCCUGCUGUUUUUUGGGGCUAGCACUGGCGAGUCUAUCUUCCCGCAAAAAAUUAAAUCUGUAGAAAACGUUAAAAAAAAGUGAAAAUGGCAACAUUACAAAGAGCAGUUUCUGAAAGACGUCAAUCGUUGAUAGAACUGGUAGAAAUCGAUAUUUAAUGCAGCCAUGCAACUUUAAUUCGAAAACCAAAGUGUUAAAGCAACGGGCACAGCUAUUUUGAAACAGAAUACCUGAUAAUGUACUUUCCAGAAAUAAUUCUGGCAACUUACCCGACCACAAAAUUGGUAAGGCUGCCUUCCCCAGACAAAACCGUCGUGUGUAGCUCAGGGACGAUUCGUGGUGUGGAGGAACACCUACUCUGUUACAUUUCGCUUACUACCAACGUACAGCGAGCAGUCUGCUAGUACAUUUGAGAUGAUACAACCACGUCCGUCAUAUGCUGUAGCAGUGAGCCAUUAUCAUGGGCAAUAAAUACCAACUUGAAGUACGAAAGCACUACUCAAACGAACAAAUUCGAUUUGGUCAUGUUACAGCUUUUACGAUAAUACUCUCCCAAUCAGAAAACCGAACCUACAAGCUUCCUGUGUAAAUCGCUCUACUGUUUAUACCCAGUACUAUAAAACUAUUGUCUUUCCAGCACACAUAAUGAAUUGCAGGGCGAUUGGGAAAUGCUCUGGAAGGAAGAACGAAAGAUUGAGGAAGGUUGGGGAAGAAAAUCGAUCGGUCGCGUUCUUAAUCUCAGCAUCUGCUUUAAG